rnacentral:tRNA from 1 species
GAAUGUGUGGUUCAGUGGUGGAACACUUGCCUAGCAUGCAAAAAACCCUGGGCUGGAUUCCCUGGCACUGUUU